GAUGAACGCUAGCGGCAGGCUUAAUACAUGCAAGUCGAGGGGCAGCACGGGUAGCAAUACCUGGUGGCGACCGGCAAACGGGUGCGGAACACGUACAGAACCUUCCUUUAAGUGGGGGAUAGCCCGGAGAAAUCCGGAUUAAUACCCCGUAACAUUAUGGUGUGGCAUCAUACUAUAAUUAUAGAUUUAUUGCUUAGAGAUGGCUGUGCGGCUGAUUAGGUAGUUGGUGUAGGAACGGCUCACCAAGCCUGCGAUCAGUAACUGGUGUGAGAGCACGACCAGUCACACGGGCACUGAGACACGGGCCCGACUCCUACGGGAGGCAGCAGUAAGGAAUAUUGGUCGAUGGACGCAAGUCUGAACCAGUCAUGCCGCGUGAAGGAUGAAGGCCCUC
rnacentral:rRNA from 1 species